GAACUGGAGUAGGCUUGCAGGAAGGCCCCAAGCAAGCAAGGAAGCAGGCAGGCAGGCAGGCAGGCAGAGUGGCCCCCACAGCUCUCUGCAGCAGACCCUCUGCCCAGCCCAGCAUUUGCCAGGCUGAAGGCCAAUAAAGCCCAUUGACAUGAGUCUACAUGGAGAAGGGAGUUGGGCUUCCUGGAUGAGUGACAGGAGAGGCUCGUGCACCUCCUGAAUUUCUGCGUGGACAUUUACAAUAGCUAGUAAAAUCCACAACAAAUUGUGAAGAGCUCCAAAAAGAUCUCUCCAAACUGAGGGAGUAGGCAACAAAGCAGAUGUGGUUCAAUUAUUUCAAGACCUUUUAGACCUCAACUUUAACAAGCAGAAGAGGAAGAAUUGACAUUGAGGCUAUGAGACAAGGAACUCUGUUGGUUGAACAUUUCAGGUGGCAUGAAGUCACAAUUCAUCAGCCUCAUAAUGACACGACUUUCCUGACCCAACAUCGUCUAUAAUGCAACUCUCUUUUGUGUAGUUUUGUAUAAAAAUGAUCAAACCAUUUUCAAAUCCAUAUUAUUUUAAAUUCCAAAAACUGUUGAGUUGUACUGAUUGGACUUGAGAAUUCCUACUUAUCCCAGUGUAAAAUAUUUCUAUAAGUUAGACUAUUGAGAAUACUCAGGUCUUCUAAGAGCAGCUUAGCUUUUCAUGCACUUCCUAAUAAGGAUGUGAGUUUUUAAACUAAUUUUACUGAAACCUUGUUAGCUUCCUUCAAAAUUUCUCGGAUGUUUUGUCUCAGGAGUACACUCUAAAUCUACCUUUAAAUUCACUGUAGACAACAUCCAGUGUAUAUCCUGUGGAUGGAUACCUUUCUGUGUAGACUUCUAUGACUAGAGAACAAAAUGUGCAGGGUCUUUAAAGGGAUGUAGUAAGUUUGAGCGGGGGGGGAUACUUUGGAUAUUUGGGAUUUUGAUGUUAUAUAUUGACAUCACUAGUGAUGUAUAUAUUUCCAGUCCAUACAUACAUAAGCCUCCACCUGGGAAUCCUAAUGCCCAAUCCAGCCAAUCAGCCCGGAGAUGGCAGGACUGGUAGUAAAUUUACCAACACUUGUGGAUACUUGCCAGCAUACAGCAUAAGAACAUAAGAAAAGCCCGGCUGGAUCAGGACCAAGGCCUAUCAAAUCCAGCAUCCUGUUUCACACAGUGGCCCACCAGAUGCCUCUGGGAAGCCCACAAGCAUGAGCUGAGGGGGCAUGCCCUCUCUCCUACUGCUACUCGCCUGCAUCUUGCCUCUGAGGCUGGAGGUGGUGUAUUGAUAUGAACAGGUGGGUGGAUACCCUUUUUAGAACUAGGGUCUACUCUGAGACCCCCAAAAGCCAAAAUGCUAGAUUGGGCCUGUGUCUGAAUUGUCGUUUUGGCAGGAAGCUGAAGCCUGACUUUGAUUUUUUCCCCUCUAAGCCAAGCCAGUGAACAGAAAUGCUAUUCUUCUGGGAAAGAAGGGGGAUUUCCCCCCACUUACUCCCAGCCUUGAAGCUGUUUACUGUUAAGCAAAGAGCCUUGGGUAGUUUGUUGCUGUGCUAAAAUCCAGUCAUGAGAACUAGUUUGACAUGUCAAGCAUAGUCACAUUUAGCUGAUUUAGGAAAUUAUAAGAAACCACAUAGAUAAGAAUAAGAACAUAUAGAUAAGAAUGCCUAUACUGUACUAUGGGGCUAGCACAUUCAUAUACUGAACCCCACCCUUGCUUAUGUAACAUUCUCUGUCCUUCUAACAUAUUUCCAUGGGCUGAAGAACAUCAACAAAUGGCUACACACCAGGGCCAGCUAGACAUUAAAAAAGUGUCUCUAUCUUGAGACUGAUCAGACAAAGAGCCAGACCGAGCUCCUGAUUGGCUCCUCCCUGUAGGGGAAGAGAGGAAUUCGGAGAGCCGUGCCAGAAUUUGUUUAUCAAAGAAGAGACACUCUGAGUAGAUGAGGUGAUUAUUUUGACUUGGAUAGGUGGCCAAAAAGGUAUAAAAAGCUGCAGACAGCCAUUCAUGGGGAUGGUAGGCAUGGACUCCUUCAUGGAAGAGGCACCAUGUAGCCCCUCCCUGUACCUCCAGAGCCAGUCACACUCCCACCGGAGAGGCCAGCAGAGAUUCCGUUCCAGCUCACCUGAAAACUGGUAAAUAUUGCCUAGAGCCAUGCCUCCAUAAACCAGCCACUUCUGACUAACAUACCUUCCCUCCUCCCACUUUUCCUCUCUGUCCCUGGAUUUCUCUCUCACCUAUCCUCGGCUCCAGUGAAGCCCCUGCUGCAGCCAUUAUUUCCCAGGGGGCAGGAAAUGGCAUCCAUCUCUCUCCCCUCCUUCCAGUCCCUCCUCCUCCUCCGCCCCCCUUCCUAAGCUGCUUUAAUGGGCAUUCCUCUUGUUGGUCUCCCUCCCUCCUUCCCUCCCUGGAAACUGUAUUUUAGCCUUUUCUCUCUGCCAGCACAACUUCUAGGAUUGUUUGGGAACAGUCAGGCGAUAGCAAAAGGCCUUCAGCUACUUGCUCCUAAUGAAAUGAAACUGUUUUAAACUAUUCAGCAUUUAGCAGAAGGGUUAGAAAGAAAUGCCUUUUCUGUUAAGAGUCAAAGAUGCCUUGCAUUUAUUAGUGGUAUGAGUUAACUGUCAUAGAAAUUAUUAGGCCAAAUGAAAGGGGAAACACUGAUUGAACUGUGUGUGUGCUUUGCAGUCAGAACUGAGUUGGGGAGAAUUGUUGUGGUUUGUAGCCUAGGCAACUAGACAGAUAAGAUAUUUCUCCACAGAAAUGAAUUCCUAAGCUACCUGCUUUUGGUGAAGCUAAAUUGAUUCCUAGUUAGCAGCUCUGCAUUUUGAGAAAAGGGGAAAUGAAUUUAGGAAUGCUUUUAGCUGUUACUGAACUUAAUCACUUACACUUGUAAUCAUUAGCCUUAAUAAAGCCCAUUUAAACUCACA